UUGUGUUCAAGGGCUGGUCGGAAAUCCCGAAAUCGGAAGCGGCGCUCGUGCAGUGCAGCCAAACAUCUGAGACUUGCUCAACUCCGCUUCAGAAAUGGUCUAUGGAAAAGGCCGCAGACAAAAGGAAGCAUCUGGACAAGUGGCACAAUUUGUUGGUAGGUGUUUUGUUUAGGAGUGUGAAAGUUAGAGUUUUAGUUGUAAGUGCUGCUCUAAAUAGCAUCUAUUUGACACAGUAAUUGUAGCUAAUGUCAAAACAACAACAACAAUAAAAAAAAAAACAUUUCAGAACUGUACAUUGAUAGAUAGAUAGAUACUUUAUUGAUCCCCAUGGGGACAUUCAUUGCAUGGGUUUAGA